UGGGGGAUAUUGCACAAUGGGCGAAAGCCUGAUGCAGCAACGCCGCGUGAGGGAAGACGGUUUUCGGAUUGUAAACCUCUGUCUUCGGUGAAGAAACAAAUGACGGUAGCCGAGGAGGAAGCCACGGCUAACUACGUGCCAGCAGCCGCGGUAAUACGUAGGUGGCAAGCGUUGUCCGGAAUUACUGGGUGUAAAGGGAGUGCAGGCGGGGAGACAAGUCAGCUGUGAAAACUAUGGGCUUAACCCAUAAACGGCAGUUGAAACUGUUUUUCUUGAGGGGAGUAGAGGUAGGCGGAAUUCCGAGUGUAGCGGUGAAAUGCGUAGAUAUUCGGAGGAACACCAGUGGCGAAGGCGGCCUACUGGGCUCUAACUGACGCUGAGGCUCGAAAGUGUGGGGAGCAAACA
rnacentral:rRNA from 1 species